UGCUUUGGAAGUUCCUAGUGGCGAACGGGUGAGUAACACGUGAGUUACCUGCCCUGAAGUGGGGAAUAGCCCGGAGAAAUUCGGAUUAAUACCCUAUGUGAUCGUAAGAUUAAAGGCGGCUUCGGCUGUCGCUUCAGGAUGGGCUCGCGGCCUAUCAGCUAGUUGGUGAGGUAAAUGCUCACCAAGGCGAUGACGGGUAGCUGGUCUGAGAGGACGACCAGUCACACUGGAACUGAGACACGGUCCAGACACCUACGGGUGGCAGCAGUCGAGAAUCAUUCGCAAUGCCCGAAAGGAAUCACUAGUGAAUUCGCGGCCGCCUGCAGGUCGACCAUAUGGGAGAGCUCCCAACGCGUUGGAUGCAUAGCUUGAGUAUUCUAUAGUGUCACCUAAAUAGCUUGGCG
rnacentral:rRNA from 1 species